UACGUAGGGGGCAAGCGUUGUCCGGAUUCAUUGGGCGUAAAGAGCGUGUAGGCGGCCAGGUAGGUCGGUUGUGAAAACUGGAGGCUCAACCUUCAGAGGUCGACCGAAACCAUUUGGCUAGAGUCCGGGAGAGGAGAGUGGAAUUCCUGGUGUAGCGGUGAAAUGCGCAGAUAUCAGGAAGAACACCCGUGGCGAAAGCGGCUUCCUGGUCCAGCACCGACGUUCAGGCACGAAAGCGUGGAGAGCAAACAGG
rnacentral:rRNA from 1 species